CAGUAUAAUUAGGAGGUUGGAAGCUUUCUCUUUUAAACAGAUUACUUUCUUUUUCCUUUUUUUACAUCCCUACCACCACCUAACUUGUCCUUUAAGAAAAUAUGCUCAGAUUGUCUCAAGGAUAAGACCAGAGUGAGAGGUAAAGAGGAUAUGAAUCUGAAAGGUGCUCUUUGCUGUUUUGCCACAUCUGCUGGAAAUUCCGCAGCUGGCACUGAAUCCCAGAGAUCACGGGAAUGACUGUCAAGUCACACGGGUCCCAGUCGUAGAUGUGCUUGUGAAAAUGUUCAGGGAUUUGACCACAACUUUUCAGCAUCAGGUGUGAAAUGCUCUCAUGAGAGGUGUGAGAGCUCCCAGACAGCAGAUCACUCAGCUCUUGACAGGUGCCACUCGCGUUGUUCUGCUUUAGAAACUACAGGACUAGAGUGGAAAAAAAACAAAAACAAGCAGAAACUGGAAAGCGAACAGGAGCAGGAAGAUGUGACUAACACACCUGCAUACCGCCUACCAAAUCGCUUUGAAUUUCCACACAAUCUAAACGACGGCGGACUUCAGCUUCCACACGGCAUGUCAAGAGCUUUUGCUUCACUACUCUGGUUUAAUUUCUAAAAAAACACAGGGUUUCACAGUUAUGGCCAACUGCUUAUCCCAGGCAAAUUAAAUUAAGCCCCUGGCAUGCAACUAAAAGUCUGUUUCGCCUAAUUGAGCAGCUAAUGGGUAUGGAUGAAUUUGAGCUACAGAUAAAAAUAUUGUUUUCAAAGAGCCUUUCUGAUUAGCAUGAUCUGAAACAGGCAAAGAAAAAUAUUUGCAGCCAUUUUUAUAAGCCUGUUCAAAUCCAUUCGUUAGGCUCAGGGAAGAUCUUAAAGGGCCCAGUCCUGUCUUUACAUGAAGUGAGCUGCUCAAGUGCUGAAAGAGGACUAAAACCCUCUACUAAACACAUUCUGACAUUCUGCUGUACCCACACCCAGCCAGUGGAAAAUGUGCCUCUGUGGAAAAUGUGGAAAAAUGUGCUCUCCCCAUUAUCAGCUUGCGUCUCCACUCGAGGACUGUGUGUCUCCAUUCCGAUGAAUUCCGCUAUUUCAUCACAUAAAUGGCCGUAGUGCCACCGUGCCACUGAAGGAACUAUCAGGGGCUUACAGCAGCGAGGAAACGAACAGCUGGGGAGCAGUCUCGGAAAUACUAACCUCCUGGAACUCGUUGCAUUCGACUUCUAGCCUUCUGCUGUGUUUGCCUGGAUGGUGCUGAAUGUCAGGGCAGAUGGCCAUUUAGCCCUAUGAAUCUCCUUCUUCAUUAUUGUCUUUUAAAAAUAAGCUUUCAUCAACAGCAAAACCAAUGUAUGUAUUAUUUUCUAUAGCUUAUAAUUAGAAAAGAAAUGCAAAAAGACAUCAUGCUUAUAGAACUCAGUUUAAAAUAAGUCGGUUAAAGAAAACCUUAGAGACAAGCUAUUUUACAUGACGGCUGUCCCCGUGACAAAGAUGCCUCACCGUCAGCCAGUAUUCCUGUACACACACAUACAAGCCUCUGCGAGCCUCGGGUUUGUCUGUUUGUUCUUCAGUUCUCAUUUUCUUUUGAGCUCUCCUGCCCAUUUAUAAUGAAAGAACAUGGGUAUUGCGUCGGAUACAGAAGGUGCACAGAUUAUGACCCAGAAGCUACCUUCCCUGAAAACUGAAGUCAGGCUGUCCUGGGGCUAAUUCUCCAGCAAAUGCAUGACUUGAUGGGCCUCUUCCACUGGCUUCACCUGGCCCACAGGUGAAUGGUCACAUCACGGUUACACGGAGCAAUUAAUCGUACCGUUUCCAGUACAUCCUGGACCUUAGGUGAGCUCCUGCUAGAAACAUUCUGUAUCCAAGUAACCUAGUUCCCAAACCUUGGUCCAGAACUGACUGUCAGGGAUGCAGACGUCACCAUCUUAAUAUCAUCUGGCCCCUCUUUUGCUGAGGUAGGAGCAUAGCGUUUGGCAGACACUUUCAAAUUUCAGAACUGUCAUGAAAUUCAGUUGAGAAAUAUCCCCCAGCCCCACCUCAAAUUCACACGUUCAAGUCCUAACCGCCGGUGCCUCAGAAGGUGACCGUAAUUGGAGACUGGAUGUUUACAGGAGAAAUCAAGGUAAGGCGAGGACACAGGGUGGGCCCUACUCCAACGUGACGGGGGCCCUGGAGACAGGUCCAGAGAGAUGGGGGGGCGGCAAAGACACAGGAGAGGGCGGCCAGCUACCAGUCAAAGAAGGAAGCCGGGACAGACCGUCCAUUCACAGCCCCGGAGGAGCCGUCCCAGCGGCCUCCAGAGCCACGAGCAAGUACAGCUCUGCGGUUUACCACCUAGUCUGUAGCACUUCGUCGUGGAAGCCCUGGAAAACCAACACGGAUAAUCGUUUAGAAGCCACGUCCCUUGCUCACGAGAACGAGACUGACCUGGAGAGGCGCCCACGUCUACCAACAGAAAUCCCCCACUCUGGGUACUGGACGGGAUUUAAACACGAAAUUCCAAUUUUUUGUGCUGUCAGUCAGUCUGCCGCUGAUUAAACGCAUUCUUACUCCUCCGGCUUGUGUAUGAAAAUGCCACUCUCGUUUGUCCCGUUAAAGUGCAGAACUUUUCUUCCUCCAAACCGACACUGGCCCUGCAAGCCAUCGGCCUCCACACUGAGAUCAGGAUUCCCACCACAUUCCCUUCUGGGGCAGAAGUAACAGAGCUAGUUACGCAUCACUUCUCUGUUCACCUACUACAUCCGAACGCUUAGCAAAUGUAUGUCCUUCAUAUGACGUACGUACAUUCACGAGCCACAUGGACACACACACACACAUCACCCACUCUCCUCCUUUCUACAGAGUCUUCCUGUGCAGCAAGAGCUGGCCUGUCCUAGAGUCCAGGUGGAGCUCGCACCUGGCAUGGGAGGGAUGGGAGGAAGGCGCUUAACCUGCAUUAACCACCUACUAAAAGUAUAUAAACUUCAGGCAUGCAUUACCCUAGUUAACACUUGCAGCAACGCUCUGAGAUGUGUACUGUGUCACAGAUACAAUGAAAGGAGCUCAGCGUGGUAAGGUCGCUCCCGGCCAGUGUCCCGGCUGGGACAGAGACCUUCCUUUCGCCCUAAGUCUUCGCUGCAGUCCCGCCUAUGCAUUCCUCCUCCCCCAGGCUUCCUCCUCAGUUGGAAGAAACUUCUGAAAGGUCGGGAAGGAUCAGCACCGGCCAGCCC
ensembl:lncRNA